GAUUCUGGCUCAGGAUGAACGCUGGCGGCAGGCUUAAUACAUGCAAGUCGAACGGUAAGGUCCGAAGUGGCAACACGGAGGAUACACGAGUGGCGCACGGGUGCGCAACGCGUAUGCAACCUGCCCCCGACCGGGACAAAACAGCUGGAAACGGCUGCUAAUAUCCCAUGGUCAUGCGGAAGGGCAUCCUUCUUCAUGUAAAGAUUCAUUGGUCGGGGAUGGGCAUGCGUAUUAUUAGGUAGUUGGCGGGUAACGGCCCACCAAGCCGACGAUGAUUAGGGGUCCUGAGAGGGUUAACCCCCACACUGGAACUGAGACACGGUCCAGACUCCUACGGGAGGCAGCAGUAGGGAAUAUUGGGCAAUGGGAGCAAUCCUGACCCAGCCAUGCCGCGUGAAGGAAGACGGCCCUAUGGGUUGUAAACUUCUUUUGCCGCAGAGUAAACCCGGUCACGAGUGGUCGGUUGAGAGUAUGCGGCGAAUAAGUAUCGGCUAACUCCGUGCCAGCCGCAGC
rnacentral:rRNA from 1 species